rnacentral:rRNA from 1 species
UACGUAGGUGGCGAGCGUUGUCCGGAAUUACUGGGUGUAAAGGGCGUGUAGGCGGGAUCUUAAGUCAGACGUGAAAUUCCCAGGCUUAACUUGGGCGCUGCAUCUGAAACUGAGGUUCUUGAGUGCUGGAGAGGAAAGUGGAAUUCCUAGUGUAGCGGUGAAAUGCGUAGAUAUUAGGAGGAACACCAGUGGCGAAGGCGGCUUUCUGGACAGUAACUGACGCUGAGGCGCGAAAGCGUGGGGAG